GAUGAACGCUGGCGGCGUGCCUAAUACAUGCAAGUCGAGCGAACGGACGAGAAGCUUGCUUCUCUGAUGUUAGCGGCGGACGGGUGAGUAACACGGGGAUAACCUACCUAUAAGACUGGGAUAACUUCGGGAAACCGGAGCUAAUACCGGAUAAUAUUUUGAACCGCAUGGUUCAAAAGUGAAAGACGGUCUUGCUGUCACUUAUAGAUGGAUCCGCGCUGCAUUAGCUAGUUGGUAAGGUAACGGCUUACCAAGGCAACGAUGCAUAGCCGACCUGAGAGGGUGAUCGGCCACACUGGAACUGAGACACGGUCCAGACUCCUACGGGAGGCAGCAGUAGGGAAUCUUCCGCAAUGGGCGAAAGCCUGACGGAGCAACGCCGCGUGAGUGAUGAAGGUCUUCGGAUCGUAAAACUCUGUUAUUAGGGAAGAACAUAUGUGUAAGUAACUGUGCACAUCUUGACGGUACCUAAUCAGAAAGCCACGGCUAACUACGUG
rnacentral:rRNA from 1 species